rnacentral:rRNA from 1 species
CUUUAUACUGUGAAACUGCGAAUGGCUCAUUAAAUCAGUUAUCGUUUAUUUGAUAGUACCUUACUACAUGGAUACCUGUGGUAAUUCUAGAGCUAAUACAUGCUAAAAACCCCGACUUCGGAAGGGGUGUAUUUAUUAGAUAAAAAACCAAUGCCCUUCGGGGCUCCUUGGUGAUUCAUAAUAACUUAACGAAUCGCAUGGCCUUGCGCCGGCGAUGGUUCAUUCAAAUUUCUGCCCUAUCAACUUUCGAUGGUAGGAUAGUGGCCUACCAUGGUGGCAACGGGUAACGGGGAAUUAGGGUUCGAUUCCGGAGAGGGAGCCUGAGAAACGGCUACCACAUCCAAGGAAGGCAGCAGGCGCGCAAAUUACCCAAUCCCGACACGGGGAGGUAGUGACAAUAAAUACUGAUACGGGGCUCUUUCGGGUCUCGUAAUUGGAAUGAGUACAAUCUAAAUCCCUUAACGAGGAACAAUCGGAGGGCAAGUCUGGUGCCAGCAGCCGCGGUAAUUCCAGCUCCAAUAGCGUAUAUUAAAGUUGUUGCAGUUAAAAAGCUCGUAGUUGAACCUUGGGUCUGGCUGGCCGGUCCGCCUCACCGCGAGUACUGGUCCGGCUGGACCUUUCCUUCUGGGGGAUCCCAUGGCCUUCACUGGCUGUGGGGGGAACCAGGACUUUUACUGUGAAAAAAAUUAGAGUGUUCAAAGCAGGCCUUUGUCUCGAAUACAUUAGCAUGGAAUAAUAGAAUAGGACGUGCGGUUCUAUUUUGUUGGUUUCUAGGACCGCCGUAAUGAUUAAUAGGGAUAGUCGGGGGUCGUCAGUAUUCAGCUGUCAGAGGGUGAAAUUCUUGGAUUUGCUGAAGACUAACUACUGCGAAAGCAUUCGCCAAGGAUGUUUUCAUUAAUCAGGGGAACGAAAGUUAGGGGAUCGAAGACGAUCAGAUACCGUCGUAGUCUUAACCAUAAACUAUGCCGACUAGG